UCCGGCACGUCGCCCAGACGAUGGGGGCGGGGUGGCUGGAGACCGUGCUGGCGUGGCCGCGCCGGUUCGUGCUGCCGUUCGACGCGGCCGCGCCGGAG
rnacentral:tRNA from 1 species